rnacentral:rRNA from 1 species
GUCAAAUCCUCAUGGCCCUUACGCCUGGGGCUAGACACGUGCUACAAUGGCCGGCACAAAGCGAUGCGAGCCCGAGAGGGCAUAGCGAACCGCCGAAAGCCGGCCGUAGUCCGGAUUGAAGUCUGAAACCCGACUUCAUGAAGCUGGAAUCGCUAGUAAUCGCGCAUCAGCAUGGCGCGGUGAAUACGUUCCCGGGCCUU